GUGCUUCCCUCAGCAGCACAUAUACUAAAACUGGACUGAUACAGAGAAGAUUAGCAUGGUCCCUGUACAAGGAUGACAUGCAAAUUCACGAAGCAUUCCAUGUUUUU
rnacentral:snRNA from 1 species